rnacentral:tRNA from 1 species
CCUUCGAUAGCUCAGCUGGAAGAGCGUGGGACUGUAAAUCCCGAGGCCAUCGGUUCGAUCCCGAUUCGAAGGA